AUGGCAUGUCACAGCCCUGGGCGCUCGGGGAUCUCCUCUCCCCUCACGCCGGUGGGAGAGGAAGGGAUCCCAAACGGCACCCUGUCCACCUCCGACGCCAACCGUCCCCUGGUGCAGAGGAAACCAGCUUUCUGCUGGUCGGAGGAGCGUUUCAGAAGAGGAAGCAAAAACCGAGCUGGGUGUUUGGGUGGUGUUUGUCCCCGACGCACCACCCACCCUGACCUACAGAUGCGCAGAGACACAGACAGAGCCAGGGGGUCGUCUCCUGUGAGUGCUGGUCUGGCACGGGCCACAGGCUCAGCCUGCUGCGAACUGCAGAUACCCGGGAACUCUAACGUGUCCCCAUCCUAAGCCAGCUCAGUGGUGGCCCUACUUAACCAACGACUUGGAGGGAGGGAACAGUAUUCUUUCCCAUAAACGACUAGGCUACAUUGAGUUUAGACGAACGCG
rnacentral:lncRNA from 1 species